rnacentral:rRNA from 1 species
GACGAACGCUGGCGGCGUGCUUAACACAUGCAAGUCGAACGGAAAGGCCCUGCUUGCAGGGUACUCGAGUGGCGAACGGGUGAGUAACACGUGGGUGAUCUGCCCUGCACUUCGGGAUAAGCUUGGGAAACUGGGUCUAAUACCGGAUAGGACCGCACUUUAGUGUGUGUGGUGGAAAGUUUUUUCGGUGUAGGAUGAGCUCGCGGCCUAUCAGCUUGUUGGUGGGGUAAUGGCCUACCAAGGCGGCGACGGGUAGCCGGCCUGAGAGGGUGUACAGCCACAUUGGGACUGAGAUACGGCCCAGACUCCUACGGGAGGCAGCAGUGGGGAAUAUUGCACAAUGGGCGCAAGCCUGAUGCAGCGACGCCGCGUGGGGGAUGAAGGCCUUCGGGUUGUAAACUCCUUUCGCUAGGGACGAAGCUUUUUGUGACGGUACCUAGAUAAGAAGCACCGGCUAACUACGUG